rnacentral:rRNA from 1 species
GGAUUAGAUACCCGGGUAGUCCACGCUGUAAACGAUGAAUGUUAAAUAUGGGAAGUUUACUUUCUGUAUUACAGCUAACGCGUUAAACAUUCCGCCUGGGGACUACGGUCGCAAGAUUAAAACUCAAAGGAAUUGACGGGGACCCGCACAAGCGGUGGAGCAUGUGGUUUAAUUCGAUGCAACGCGAAAAACCUUACCACUCCUUGACAUGGAAAUUAUACCUAUUCGAAGGGAUAGGGUCGGUUCGGCCGGAUUUCACACAGGUGUUGCAUGGCUGUCGUCAGCUCGUGUCGUGAGAUGUUGGGUUAAGUCCCGCAACGAGCGCAACCCUCAUCCUUAGUUACCAUCAGGUAAUGCUGGGGACUUUAAGGAAACUGCCAGUGAUAAACUGGAG